rnacentral:rRNA from 1 species
ACAGGGUGACAGGUGGUGCAUGGUUGUCGUCAGCUCGUGUCGUGAGAUGUUGGGUUAAGUCCCGCAACGAGCGCAACCCCUACGUUUAGUUGCUAACGCGUGAAGGCGAGCACUCUAGACGAACUGCCGUUGCAAAACGGAGGAAGGUGGGAUGACGUCAAAUCAUCAUGCCCCUUAUGUUCUGGGCUACACACGUGCUACAAUGGCCGGUACAGACGGACGCAAAGCCGCGAGGUGGAGCAAAUCCUAAAAAAGCCGGUCUCAGUUCGGAUUGCAGGCUGCAAUUCGCCUGCAUGAAGUCGGAAUCGCUAGUAAUCGCAGGUCAGCAUACUGCGGUCGAAUACGUUCCCGGGCCUU